rnacentral:tRNA from 1 species
GCCCUUGUAGUUUAAAGGAUAGAACCUGGGCCUCCGAAGCUCAAGAUGGCCGUUCGAUUCGGCCCGAGGGCA